rnacentral:rRNA from 1 species
UACGUAGGUGGCGAGCGUUGUCCGGAUUUACUGGGCGUAAAGGGAGCGUAGGCGGACUUUUAAGUGAGAUGUGAAAUACCCGGGCUCAACUUGGGUGCUGCAUUUCAAACUGGAGGUCUAGAGUGCAGGAGAGGAGAAUGGAAUUCCUAGUGUAGCGGUGAAAUGCGUAGAGAUUAGGAAGAACACCAGUGGCGAAGGCGAUUCUCUGGACUGUAACUGACACUGAGGCUCGAAAGCGUGGGGAGCAAACAGGAUUAGAUACCCU